rnacentral:misc_RNA from 1 species
GAUGAAAACGUAGCAAAAUGCGAUACUUGGUGUGAAUUGCAGAAUCCCGUGAACCAUCGAGUUUUUGAACGCAAGUUGCGCCCGAAGCCUUUUGGCCGAGGGCACGUCUGCCUGGGCGUCACGCAUCGCGUCGCCCCCCACAAUUCUCCGUAAAGGGAACAUGUGUUUUGGGGGCGGAUAUUGGUCUCCCGUGCUCAUGGCGUGGUUGGCCGAAAUAGGAGUCCUUUCGAUGGACGCACGAACUAGUGGUGGUCGUAAAAACCCUCGUCUUUUGUUUCGUGCUGUUGCUCGCAAGGUAAACUCUUUAAAAACCCCAAUGUGUCGUCUCUUGACGACGCUUCGACCGCGACCCCAGGUCAGGCGGGACUACCCGCUGAGUUUAAGCAUAUCAAUAAGCGGAGGA